rnacentral:rRNA from 1 species
CUCAAAGGAAUUGACGGGGGCCCGCACAAGCGGUGGAUGAUGUGGAUUAAUUCGAUGCAACGCGAAGAACCUUACCUACCCUUGACAUGCCAGGAAUCCCGGAGAGAUCUGGGGGUGCCCGAAAGGGAACCUGGACACAGGUGCUGCAUGGCUGUCGUCAGCUCGUGUCGUGAGAUGUUGGGUUAAGUCCCGCAACGAGCGCAACCCUUGUCAUUAGUUGCUACGAAAGGGCACUCUAAUGAGACUGCCGGUGACAAACCGGAGGAAGGUGGGGAUGACGUCAAGUCCUCAUGGCCCUCAUGGGUAGGGCUUCACACGUCAUACAAUGGUCGGUACAGAGGGUUGCCAACCCGCGAGGGGGAGCCAAUCCCACAAAGCCGAUCGCAGUCCGGAUCGCAGUCUGCAACUCGACUGCGUGAAGUCGGAAUCGCUAGUAAUCGCGGAUCAGCAUGUCGCGGUGAAUACGUUCCCGGGCCUUGUACACACCGCCCGUCACACCA